rnacentral:rRNA from 1 species
AUGAACGCUGGCGGCGUGCCUAAUACAUGCAAGUCGAGCGAACAGACGAGGAGCUUGCUCCUCUGACGUUAGCGGCGGACGGGUGAGUAACACGUGGAUAACCUACCUAUAAGACUGGGAUAACUUCGGGAAACCGGAGCUAAUACCGGAUAAUAUAUUGAACCGCAUGGUUCAAUAGUGAAAGACGGUUUUGCAGUCACUUAUAGAUGGAUCCGCGCCGCAUUAGCUAGUUGGUAAGGUAACGGCUUACCAAGGCAACGAUGCGUAGCCGACCUGAGAGGGUGAUCGGCCACACUGGAACUGAGACACGGUCCAGACUCCUACGGGAGGCAGCAGUAGGGAAUCUUCCGCAAUGGGCGAAAGCCUGACGGAGCAACGCCGCGUGAGUGAUGAAGGUCUUCGGAUCGUAAAACUCUGUUAUUAGGGAAGAACAAAUGUGUAAGUAACUAUGCACGUCUUGACGGUACCUAAUCAGAAAGCCACGGCUAACUACGUG